rnacentral:rRNA from 1 species
UACGUAGGCAGCAAGCGUUGUUCGGAAUUACUGGGCGUAAAGAGUGUGUAGGCGGUGCUCUAAGUUCGGUGUGAAAUCUCCCGGCUCAACUGGGAGGGUGCGCCGAAUACUGAGUGGCUAGAGUGCGGGAGAGGAAAGUGGAAUUCCUGGUGUAGCGGUGAAAUGCGUAGAUAUCAGAAGGAACACCGGUGGUGUAAACGGCUUUCUGGACCGUAACUGACGCUGAGGCACGAAAGCGUGGGGAGCGAACAGG